UUUGAAUCCUCCUACUUUUCUUGGUAAAUCCCAGCCUUGAGAGGUUGUGAAGGAAAAGAUGACAUCAAAGGAGUAAAAUUACAGGCCCUGCCCACAGCAGACUCAACAGAUAAAUGGAUUGUCUCUAUAGAUAACUUCCUACCAAUCUAAGGUAUUAUUUUUCCUAAAAGCAUGACAUUGCACUGAGAGAUUCACACUCAUGAUUGCAAUGAAUCUUCACAUAACCACUGCAAGGAUGAAAAUCCAAAAGACAUAGAUUUCUUACCAUCUUGAAAUGUGUGAGCAAGCAAAUUAAGCUGUAUUAUGAUCCCAGGAAAUACGAAAAUGCAAAUGGAUUUAAAUUUGUCUGCAAAAUAUAGAUCAGUCUUGCUCAUGUAGAUAGAUAAGUUAAUGGGAAGAGAGCCUUGCUCCCUGGCAACAUUCAAGAGUUUUGGCCUUGCAGUUGGAGUCAUCUGGAGACAUGUGGCAGAGUGUCCUGGCUGAACCUAAAUCGUGACUCAGAUCCUGAUCGUGUCUGAUGCAAUAAGACCUGUGGUUUCCCAAAUACCGGUCGAUUGCAUGGGCAGAUCCGCGAAGGGAGGAAGGGACCUGUGAGGAGGGAAACUUCUAUAUGGUCACUUAGAGAGAGGCAGAAACAGAAGGAAGACAGAACUCAAAAUUGGUUCCUACUCCAUCCCCAUGGGUUUGUAGUUCAAGAAAAGAAUAAGCUAUAUAUACAAGCUUAAAGAUUCACAAACCAUAGGCAAUUUAGGUAAUCUCAAGCUCUUUUAGCCUGGUUCCCUAUAAACUGUGAUGGUUAAUGGUGGCUUGGCCUCAUUUCUAAAUGGAGUACACCUUGACUUUGCUCUGGUACAAUGGAGGCAACAGUUUUGUGUCUCCUGGCAUCUUGGAGGUUCAUGGCUUUGAAGAUCCUAGAGAUGGACUUUGAGAAGCAGCCUUCUCACAAAGAGUGGUGAAGAGACACUUCCUUCAAGAGAUUUUCAGGUACACUAAGCAACAAAGAGGCCAGAGGGAAGGUUCAUGGGAGAAUAAUUUGUGAGUUUGUGUGAGGUCUUUCCAAAAUCAUCUUAAUGAUGGCCAGGGGAGGGGGUAAGUUGAAGUUUCACAACUGUGCAGGUGAGGGCUA